AACCCGGAAGCGGAUCGCGUGGUGUGAAGGUCCUACCGCGGCGCGUGAGUUUCGCUCUGCCUUGUAUUAAGUCUGCACUUCACAGGUCCCCGGCGCUUCUGUCCCUGGGACGUGGGAUCCCCACGGACCUGGAAAUUCUCGCCGGUCUUCCUUCACCCAGAGCAAAUUGAGACGUCCCGGAUUGAUUCUAAAGACUCAUGUUACGUGAGGAAGCAGCUCAGAAGAGGAAAGGAAACGAGCCAGGCAUGGCUCUUCCUCAGGGACACUUGACUUUCAGGGAUGUGGCUAUAGAAUUCUCAUUGGAAGAGUGGAAAUGCCUGAACCCUGCGCAGAGGGCUUUAUACAGGGAAGUGAUGUUGGAGAACUACAGGAACCUGGAGGCUGUGGAUAUCUCUUCCAAAUGCAUGCUGAAGGAGGUCUUAUCAACAGGGCAAGACAAUACAGAAGUGUUCCACUCAGGGACACUGCAAAGACAUCAAGGUUAUUACAUUGGAGAUUUUUGCUUCCAGGAAAUUGAGAAAGAAAUUCAUGACAUUGACUUUCAGUGUCAAGAAGAUGAAAGAAAUGGCCAUGAAGCACCCAUAACAAAAAUAAAAAAGUUGACUGGCAGUACAGACCGAUAUGAUCAAAGGCUUGCUGGAAACAAACCUAUUAAAGAUAAGCUUGGAUCGAGCUUUUAUUCACAUCUGCCUGAACUCCACAUAUUUCAAAUCAAAAGUAAAAUUGGUAAUCAACUUGAGAAGUCUACCAAUGAUGCUCCCUCGGUUUCAACAUCCCAAAGAAUUUCUUGUAGGCGCCAAAUCCAUAUUUCUAAUAACUAUGGGAAUAAUUCCCUGAAUUCUUCAUUGCUCACACAAAAACAGGAAGUACACAUGAGAGAAAAAUCUUUCCAAUGUAAUGAGAGUGGCAAAGCCUUUAAUUGUGGCUCACUCUUAAGGAAACACCAGAUACCCCAUUUAGGAGAGAAACAAUAUAAAUGUGAUGUAUGUGGCAAGCUCUUUAAUCACAAGCAAUACCUUGCAUGCCAUCAUAGGGGUCACACUGGAGAGAAACCUUACAAGUGUAAGGAGUGUGGCAAGUCCUUCAGUCAGGAGUCAUCCCUUACAUGCCAUCGUAGACUUCAUACUGGAGUAAAAUCUCACAAGUGUAAUGAGUGUGGCAAGAUCUUUGGUCAAAAUUCAGCCCUUGUAAUUCAUAAGGCAAUUCAUACUGGAGAAAAACCUUACAAGUGUAAUGAAUGUGACAAGGCUUUUAAUCAACAAUCAAACCUUGCACGUCAUCGUAGAAUUCAUACUGGAGAGAAACCUUACAAAUGUGAAGAAUGUGACAAAGUUUUCAGUCGGAAAUCAACCCUUGAGACACAUAAGAGAAUUCAUACUGGAGAGAAACCAUACAAAUGUAAGGUUUGUGACAUAGCUUUCACGUGGAAUUCUCAGCUGGCAAGACAUACAAGAAUUCACACUGGAGAGAGAACUUACAAGUGUAAUGAGUGUGGCAAGACUUUCAGUCACAAGUCAUCCCUUGUAUGCCAUCAUAGACUUCAUGGUGGAGAGAAAUCUUACAAAUGUAAGGUUUGUGACAAGGCUUUCGCAUGGAAUUCACACCUGGUAAGACAUACUAGAAUUCAUAGUGGAGGAAAACCUUACAAGUGUAAUGAAUAUGGGAAGACCUUUGGUCAAAAUUCAGAUCUUUUAAUUCAUAAGUCAAUUCAUACUGGAGAGCAACCUUACAAAUAUGAAGAAUGUGAAAGGGUUUUCAGUCAUGAAUCAACCCUUGAGACACAUAAGAUAGUUCAUACUGGAGAGAAACCAUACAAAUGUAAGGUUUGUGACAAGGCUUUUGCUUGUCAUUCGUAUCUGGCAAAACAUACUAGAAUUCAUAGUGGAGAGAAACCUUACAAGUGUAAUGAGUGCAGCAAGACCUUCCGUCUGAAGUCAUACCUUGUAUGCCAUCGUAGACUUCAUAGUGGUGAGAAACCUUACAAAUGUAAUGAGUGCAGCAAGACCUUCAGUCAGAGGUCAUACCUUCAUUGCCAUCGUAGACUUCAUAGUGGUGAGAAACCUUACAAGUGUAAUGAGUGUGGCAAGACCUUCAGUCACAAGCCAUCCCUUGUAUACCAUCGUAGACUUCAUACUGGAGAGAAAUCUUACAAAUGUACGGUUUGUGACAAGGCUUUCGUACGUAAUUCAUACCUGGCAAGACAUACCAGAAUUCACACUGCGGAGAAACCUUACAAGUGUAAUGAAUGCGGGAAGACUUUUAAUCAACAAUCACAAUUUUCACUUCAUCAUAGAGUUCAUGCUGGAGAGAAACUUUACAAAUGUGAAGCAUGUGACAAAGUUUUCAGUCGUGAAUCACACCUUAAAAGACAUAAGAGAAUUCAUCCUGGAGACAACGCAUACAAAUGUAAGGUUUGUGACAAGACUUUUGGGAGUGAUUCACACCUGAGACAACAUACUGGAAUUCACACUGGAGGGAAACCUUACAAGUGUAAUGAGUGUGGCAAAGCCUUUAGCAAGCAGUCAACACUUAUUCACCAUCAGGCAGUUCAUGGUGUAGGGAAACUUGACUAAUGUAAUGAUUGUCACAAAGUCUUCAGUAACGCUACAACCAUUGCAAAUCAUUGGAGAAUCUAUAAUGAAUAGAGAUCUAACAAGUGUAAUAAAUGUGGCAAAUUUUUGAGACAUCAUUCACACAUUGCAGUUCAUUGACACACUCAUACUGGAGAGAAACCUUACAAAUGUCAUGAUUGAGGCAAGGUCUUCGGUCAAGCUUCAUCCUAUGCAAAACAUAGGAGAAUUCAUACAGAAGAGAAACCUCACAAGUGUGAUGAUUGUGGCAAAGCCUUUACUUCACGUUCACACCUCAUUAGACAUCAGAGAAUCCCUACUGGACAGAAAUCUUACAAAUGUCAUCAGUGUGGCAAGGUCUUCAGUCCGAGUUCACUCUGCGGAACAUCAGAAAAUUCAUUUUUGAGAUAACUGUUCCCAAUGCAAUGAGUAAGGCAAACCAUCAGAAAAUUCAUUUUUGAGAUAAUUGUUCCCAAUGCAAUGAGUAUGGCAAACCAUCAGAAAAUUCAUUUUUGAGAUAAUUGUUCCCAAUGCAAUGAGUAUGGCAAACCAUCAAGCGUUAAUUGACAUUAGAGUCAAUUCAGCACUGACUUGAGUUUGUGUUGACUUAACAUUGAGUUCAAGCCUUAACUGACAUUCAAGUGUUUUUGUUAAGAGGAUUGGGCCAGGUGCAGUGGCUCACACCUGAAAUCCCAGCACGUUGGAAGGCCAAGGCACAUAGGUCACUUGAGGUCAGAAGUUUGAAACCAGCAUGGCCAACAGAUGUCAGCCACUUUUCCCAGCCUGUUUUUUGUUUCUUAUUUUCUAUUUUUCUUUUUUGAGAUAGUGCUUUUUAAAGAGAUAGUACUUUUUUGAAAUAGUACUUUAUAAAAGGGAGAUCAGGCCAGGCACGGAGGCUCAUGUCUGUAAUCCCAGCACUUUGAGAGGCUGAGACAGGCCCAUGACAAGGUCGGGAGAUCGAGACCGUCCUGGCUAACACGGUGAAACCCUGUCUCUACUAAAAAUACAAAAUAUUAGCCGGGCGUGGUGGCAGGUGCUUGUAGUCCUAGCUGCUCGGGAGGCUGAGGCAGGAGAAUGGUGUGAACCCUGGAGGCGGAGCUUGCAGGGAGCCAAGAUCGCGCCACUGCAUUCCAACCUGGGUGACAGUGAGAGUCUAUCUCAAAAAAAAAAAAAAAGGAUAUCAAAGCUGGAUGGUGGCUCAUCCCUGCAAUCACAACACCUUGGUAGACUGACGUCAGUGGAUCACCUAAGGUCAGCAGUUCAAGAGCACCCUGGCUAACAUGUUGAAACCCCAUCUCUACUAAAAAUAAAAAAGUUAGCCAGGGGUGGGGGUGUGCACCUUUAGUUCCAGCUGCUUGAGAGGCUGAGGCACAAGAGUCGCUUAAACCUGGGAGGUAGAGGUUGCAGUGAGGCAAAAUCGUGCCACUGCCCUGCAGCCUGGGCAGCAGAGUCAGUCUCCAUCUCAAAAAAACCAGCAAACAAAAAAUAAAAAAAAAGACAUCAAAAAUGCUUUUGUUCUCAUUGUUUAAUAGGCUUCCUUUUUUUUCUUUCUGAUUCCUCUUCAUUUCUCUCUCUAUUCUUUUUUUUUUUUUUUGCAGUUUGAGUUUGAGAUAAAUCUUAGUUUUAAAAAUUUUAUUUCUUUCAUAGUAUAUAAUCACAUCUGAAAGAUGCCUUUGCAGCAUCGUAUAAUCAGCUCACAUCAUUCAUUUCUGUACUUGUAUAUUUUCCAGUUAUUUUCCAGUUGACCCCAGAAUUCGCUAGAUAAAAAAAAAAAAAUUUCAAAAUAGUUGCUGUUUGAAAUUAGUUGCAUCCAGUUCAGAUCGAGGUCUGCAUGCUUCCUAGUCUUUGUUAUUUAUUGGAAGCCUUUCGUACCUAAUACUUAAGUUUGAUUGUUUCAGUGUGUACUUGGUAUAGAUGUCAGUGACCUUUUAACUAAAUAUCAAAAUGUAGUUUAACCAGUUAGUCUGUUUUUCAGUUUUCUUUCCUUAUGUCAUUUGUUGAAAUCUUGAGCUGGGGGCUAUUUAUUGCGUGUUUCCCUCAAGGGCCUCUGGUCCAUUCUAGAAAAAUGUUGAAACAUGGGCUGGAUUGGCAUAGAACUCUCCUCCAAAAGCAGCCAUGUAUUCCUUUUUUUUUUUUUUUUCCCCCUGAAAUGGAGUCUCGCUCUGUUGCCUUGGAUGGAGUGCAGUGGUGCGAUCUCAGCUUGCUGCAACCUCUGCCUCCCGGGAUCAAGUGAUUCUCCUGCCUCAGUCUCCUGAGUAGCUAGAAUUACAGGCACCCACCAGCAUGCCUGGCUAAUUGUUGUAUUUUUAGUAGAGACAGGGUUUCACCAUGUUUGUCAGGCUGGUCUCUAACUCUUGACCUUGUGAUCCGCCUGACUCGGCCUUGCAAUGUGCUGUGAUUACAGGCAUGAGCCACGGCGCCUGGCCUCUUUUUUUUUUUCUUUUUCUUUUUUUUUUGAGACGGAGUUUCACUCUUGUUGCUCAGGCUGAACUACAAUGGUGCGAUCUCGUGUCACUACAGCAUUGGCCUCCCAGGUUCAAGCCCUUCUCCUGCCUCAGCCUACCAAGUAGUUGGGAUUACAGGUGCCCUCCUCCACUCCCGGCUAGUUUUUUGCGUUGUUAGUAGAGACAGGGUUUCAACAUGUUGACCAGGCUGGUCUCGACUUCUGACUUCAGGUGAUCUGCCCACCUCGACCUCCCAAAGUGCUAGGAUUACAGGUGUGAGCCACCGUGCCUGAUCACUCAUGUAUUGAUUGAAACUGUUUGCUUAUGUCUUAGUUCUACAGCUGACCUUCUUUCCCUGUUUUCAAGGUCAAUAGCUGUGUGUUUACACUUCUGCAUUUUAUAAAUGUUCCUGUGAUUUUCCUGUAAGGAAGAAUUAACUGUCAGGAAUCAAUGGCAUCAGAAACUUGCAAAAGAAGUUCCUUUAGCCCAGGGUUGACCUCUAAAGAUUCUUGGUACAUGAGGAAGAAACCUGGAAGAGGAAGAGGAAAGCAAAGGAGUCAGG